CGGGAACCAUAACCUGUCCUAUACGGGAUUAGUAAGUCCUAUGGUCAUGUGGAGCUCGAUGCAUACCAGGUUUGGAGCUCGUGGGUGGACAACGCCUUGUUUCGAUAGCUCUGAAGAGGUAGAAGAAGAAGGGACAGUAAUUGAAAACAAGAUGAAAGUGUUGCAGAAGAAAGACAGCAUGUGCAAGAUGCAGCCUUCUGAAGAAAAUUCAAAGAAAUUUUGGAGUAUUUGAGGAAUCGAGCUCAUACUUCUGCAAUUGUAGACAACGCUUGUUCCAACAGCUCUGAAGAGGUAGAUGAUCAAGAAGGUAAUGGCUGACCAAAGAUAUUCAAAUUAGAGGCCGGUAGUCUAACCAGAACUUACGUAAAAAGCUGAAUGAAGAUCAAUUGCCUUGUGAGAAAAGAAAAUUGAUCCGCAAUGGCAAUUUACGAACGAUGAAUGUAUGGACAAAGUUGUGAGAUCAUGUUUGAG